AAAUCCCUGCGUAGUUCGUGUAUUGUUAAAUUUUAGAACCACAAGUAUUAAAUGGGAGUCCAGUCUUGGAUGUGGCGUGUAGGCUUACACAAAAAAACAGUAAGAAACCCAGGAGCAUUCAACAAGACACCCACCUGUGUGAGCAGGUUUUUUAAAAUUAAACAUUACGGCUAAUGUGGGGAUUUU
rnacentral:other from 1 species